AGCAGCCGCGGUAAUUCCAGCUCCAAUAGCGUAUAUUAAAGUUGUUGCAGUUAAAAAGCUCGUAGUUGAAUUUCGGGGUUAGUAGGUUGGUCAUGCCUCUGGUAUGUACUGGUCUCACUGAUUCCUCCUUCCUGAUGAACCUUAAUGCCAUUAAUUUGGUGUUUUGGGGAAUUUGGACUGUUACUUUGAGAAAAUUAGAGUGUUUAAAGCAAGCUAACGCUUGAAUACAUUAGCAUGGAAUAAUGAAAUAGGACGUUCGAUCCUAUUUUGUUGGUUUCUAGGAUUGACGUAAUGAUUAAUAGGGAUAGUUGGGGGCAUUAGUAUUCAAUUGUCAGAGGUGAAAUUCUUGGAUUUAUUGAAGACUAACUACUGCGAAAGCAUUUGCCAAGGAUGUUUUCAUUAAUCAAGAACGAAAGUUAGGGGAUCGAAGACGAUCAGAUACCGUCGUAGUCUUAACCAUAAACUAUGCCGACUAGGGAUCGGAUGAUGUUAAUUUUUUAAUGACUCAUUCGGCGCCUUACG
rnacentral:rRNA from 1 species